rnacentral:tRNA from 1 species
GGGCGUAUAGCUCAGUGGUAGAGCGCGUGCUUAGCAUGCACGAGGUCCUGGGUUCAAUCCCCAGUACCUCCA